rnacentral:misc_RNA from 1 species
UCAAUCCCCUGGGUUUUCCGGGAAGAUUGGAAUUGGAUGUCUGCCGUUUGCCUGGCUCGUCUCAAAUGUGUCUGUGGGUGUCUUGACCCGUCGGGAGUGAUACGUUUCUCUCGGUUGUGGUGUCCUGACCCCGCUGUCUAAUCACCAUACUAUUAUAUGACUCUGACCUCAAAUCAGGUAGGGCUACCCGCUGAACUUAA